GUGGGGAAUUUUGGACAAUGGGCGCAAGCCUGAUCCAGCAAUGCCGCGUGCAGGAAGAAGGCCUUCGGGUUGUAAACUGCUUUUGUACGGAACGAAACGGUCCUGGUUAAUACCCGGGGCUAAUGACGGUACCGUAAGAAUAAGCACCGGCUAACUACGUGCCAGCAGCCGCGGUAAUACGUAGGGUGCAAGCGUUAAUCGGAAUUAAUGGGCGUAAAGCGUGCGCAGGCGGUGCUGUAAGACAGGCGUGAAAUCCCCGGGCUUAACCUGGGAAUUGCGCUUGUGACUGCAGUGCUGGAGUGCGGCAGAGGGGGAUGGAAUUCCGCGUGUAGCAGUGAAAUGCGUAGAUAUGCGGAGGAACACCGAUGGCGAAGGCAAUCCCCUGGGCCUGCACUGACGCUCAUGCACGAAAGCGUGGGGAGCAAACAGGAUUAGAUACCCCUGUAGUCC
rnacentral:rRNA from 1 species